CCUACGGGAGGCAGCAGUGGGGAAUAUUGCACAAUGGGGGAAACCCUGAUGCAGCGACGCCGCGUGAGUGAAGAAGUAUUUCGGUAUGUAAAGCUCUAUCAGCAGGGAAGAAAAUGACGGUACCUGAUUAAGAAGCCCCGGCUAACUACGUGCCAGCAGCCGCGGUAAUACGUAGGGGGCAAGCGUUAUCCGGAUUUACUGGGUGUUAAGGGAGCGUAGACGGAAGCGCAAGUCUGAAGUGAAAUGCCGGGGCUUAACCCCGGAACUGCGUUUGAAACCGUGCAGCUAGAGUGCAGGAGAGGUGAGUGGAAUUCGUGGUGUAGCGGUGAAAUGCGUAGAUAUUAGGAAGAACACCAGUGGCGAAGGCAGCUUACUGGACUGUAACUGACGUUGAGGCUCGAAAGCGUGGGGAGCAAACAGGAUUAGAUACCCGUGUAGUC
rnacentral:rRNA from 1 species